rfam:Zea mays cultivar B73 chromosome 2, whole genome shotgun sequence.
UGCCGAUGAUGCAUAACUGAUGCACGUAUUAUCGGAUUGUUCCAUGACGAUGAUGCAAGUUGUCACUACCACUGAGGCA